rnacentral:rRNA from 1 species
AUUGAACGCUGGCGGCAGGCUUAACACAUGCAAGUCGAGCGGAGUGAUGGUGCUUGCACUAUCACUUAGCGGCGGACGGGUGAGUAAUGCUUAGGAAUCUGCCUAUUAGUGGGGGACAACAUCUCGAAAGGGAUGCUAAUACCGCAUACGUCCUACGGGAGAAAGCAGGGGCUCACUUGUGACCUUGCGGUAAUAGAUGAGCCUAAGUCGGAUUAGCUAGUUGGUGGGGUAAAGGCCUACCAAGGCGACGAUCUGUAGCGUGUCUGAGAGGAUGAUCCGCCACACUGGGACUGGGACACGGCCCAGACUCCUACGGGAGGCAGCAGUGGGGAAUAUUGGACAAUGGGGGGAACCCUGAUCCAGCCAUGCCGCGUGUGUGAAGAAGGCCUUAUGGUUGUAAAGCACUUUAAGCGAGGAGGAGGCUCUUUUGGUUAAUACCCAAGAUGAGUGGACGUUACUCGCAGAAUAAGCACCGGCUAACUCUGUGCCAGCAGCCGCCGUAA